rnacentral:rRNA from 1 species
UACGUAGGGUGCAAGCGUUAAUCGGAAUUACUGGGCGUAAAGCGUGCGCAGGCGGCUUUGCAAGACAGAUGUGAAAUCCCCGGGCUUAACCUGGGAACUGCAUUUGUGACUGCAUGGCUGGAGUGCGGCAGAGGGGGAUGGAAUUCCGCGUGUAGCAGUGAAAUGCGUAGAUAUGCGGAGGAACACCGAUGGCGAAGGCAAUCCCCUGGGCCUGCACUGACGCUCAUGAGCGAAAGCGUGGGGAGCAAACAGG